rnacentral:tRNA from 2 species
GGGGUAUUAGUUUAAUGGUAAAACAAAGUGCUACGGACACUUAGAUUAUAGUUCAAAUCUAUCAUACCUUA